rnacentral:lncRNA from 1 species
UCCCCUUCUUCUCUUCAUUUUCUUUUCUUCUCCUUCUUAAGCAAAAUAAGGGAGCAUAUGCCCUCCCUUCUUAGAAUAAGAAAAAGGGAAGAAAAAAGGUGUGGUGGUGGCUGUUGACCGGAGGACCAACGGUCGAUCAUCGUAAGCAACAGCUGAUGGUGACAACGGACUGAUGGUGAGGAGAUCAAAUGAAGAAAAAAGAAAAUAAAAUAGGGCUUUUCCCUUUAACAUGUGAUUCCUUUCAUAGAUAAUUGAGCUUCAACAAUAGGCAUAAUUUGGCAUAGAGGAUCAGUCAAGAACUUAGGCGACACAUGCUAAUGGUGAGAAAGGCUAGAAAAGAG